GACGAACGCUGGCGGCGUGCCUAAUACAUGCAAGUCGAGCGCAGGAAAUCGACGGAACCCUUCGGGGGGAAGUCGAUGGAAUGAGCGGCGGACGGGUGAGUAACACGUAAAGAACCUGCCCUCAGGUCUGGGAUAACCACGAGAAAUCGGGGCUAAUACCGGAUGGGUCAUCGGACCGCAUGGUCCGAGGAUGAAAGGCGCUUCGGCGUCGCCUGGGGAUGGCUUUGCGGUGCAUUAGCUAGUUGGUGGGGUAAUGGCCCACCAAGGCGACGAUGCAGAGCCGACCUGAGAUGGUGAUCGGCCGUACUGGGACUGAGACACGGCCCAGACUCCUACGGGAGGCAGCAGUAGGGAAUCUUCCACAAUGGACGAAAGUCUGAUGGAGCAACGCCGCGUGAACGAUGAAGGCCUUCGGGUCGUAAAGUUCUGUUGUAAGGGAAGAACAAGUGCCGCAGGCAAUGGCGGCACCUUGACGGUACCUUGCGAGAAAGCCACGGCUAACUACGUGCCAGCAGCCGCCGCCG
rnacentral:rRNA from 1 species